AGGUCCAGCCUGCCCAGUGAAUUUUUAACGGCCGCGGUAUCCUAACCGCGCGAAGGUAGCAUAAUCACUUGUUCUUUAAAUGGGGACUCGUAUCAACGGCAUCACGAGGGUUUUACUGUCUCCUCUUUUUGAUCAGUGAAAUUGAUCUUCCCGUGAAGAAGCGGGAAUACUUAUAUAAGACGAGAAGACCCCAUGGAGCUUUAAACCAAAUAGUAACUUAACCACAUAUCUCCUUAUAACUUUAAGCCUAUACUAUGAGGUUUUUGGUUGGGGUGACCGCGGAGUAAAACAUAUCCUCCACGACGGAAAGACUACAAUCUUUAUUUAAGAACCACAAUUCUAAAAAUUAGUAUACUAACGUUUACUGACCCGAUAAUCGAUCAACGGAACAAGUUACCCUGGGGAUAACAGCGCAAUCUACUUCAAGAGCCCAUAUCGACAAGUAGGCUUACGACCUCGAUGUUGGAUCAGGGUAUCCCAGUGGUGCAGCCAUUACUGAAGGUUCGUUUGUUCAACGAU
rnacentral:rRNA from 1 species